UUACGGCCGCAUCACGAUGAAACACCAGUUCCCAUACGAUCACCGAAGUUAAGCAACGUCGAGCCUGGUCAGUAACUAGAUGGGUGACCGCUUCAGGAUAACAGGUGUUGUAAG